rnacentral:rRNA from 1 species
UACGUAGGGUGCAAGCGUUGUCCGGAAUUAUUGGGCGUAAAGAGCUCGUAGGCGGUCUGUCGCGUCGAAUGUGAAAACCCGGGGCUCAACCCCGGGCCUGCAGCCGAUACGGGCUGACUAGAAUUCGGUAGGGGAGUCUGGAAUUCCUGGUGUAGCGGUGAAAUGCGCAGAUAUCAGGAGGAACACCGGUGGCGAAGGCGGGACUCUGGGCCGAUAUUGACGCUGAGGAGCGAAAGCGUGGGGAGCGAACAGGA